CCCCCCCCCCAGGCCGAUGAGGUAAGGCCUAAGUACCAAGGAGACCUCACAGAAAGGAGCCAGAUGCACCUUCUUUUAAUACAGCUGCCUCAACACUCAAAACUGGGCCACUUUUUCUGGCCACCCAGCAUUCACUCUAUCGUUUUCCAAACCAUGUCCAUUGUGAGUCUCAGUGGGUGACAUUCCCAGCUUUCCAUGAAGCAGGCAGAAGACACCAAGAGUCCUUUUCUCGUUGCUAAGGGAGAAAAAACCCUGCAGUUUGGAAACUGUGGUGGCAGUGACUGAAGGCCUCACAGCUGGCAUCUUGGUUCAAAGAAGCCAUGUUGGUACUGGAUGGCAAUGACUACAGCAGCAGUGUUGGCCUGGUGUCCUGUGAUGGAGGUGGCCAACAGAAGUGUCUUCACGGAUCCAGACUAGUGGGGUAUUCUGGCCAUGCCUGGUUUUGUGAGAGCUACCUGGCAACCUUCUCUGGUUUAACAGCCCCCAAUCCAUUUCUCUUGUUUACAGCUGAAAAUACUGAAUGAUGCCUCCUCCGUUUGAUACGUCCUCUUGCCAUCAAUAUGAAACUUAACUUCUCUGAGCCAACAAUCACUCAGUAGGUGCUGUGCUAUGGAUUCUUUACUGCCCCAAGAGACUGACAGCCCAGCAUACCUGUUCCACUUGUCUGAAGACCCGCAGCAGGUUUCCACGAAGGAUGCCCUGAAGCUCCUCCUCCCUCCAGCCUCGCCUCAGCAAUUCCUCUAUGAGUACCGGGAGCGGGUUCAGCCCCCACCGACCCGCACACCCCCACCUACGCACCCAUCCACCAGCCGGAAGUCCCGCAUCAGGGCCCGC